rnacentral:rRNA from 1 species
UACGUAGGUGGCAAGCGUUGUCCGGAGUUAUUGGGCGUAAAGAGCUCGUAGGCGGCUUGAUUAGUCGGAUGUGAAACCUCCAGGCUCAACCUGGAGUCGCCAUCCGAUACUGUCAUGGCUAGAGUCCGGUAGGGGCCCACGGAAUUCCUGGUGUAGCGGUGAAAUGCGCAGAUAUCAGGAGGAACACCGGUGGCGAAGGCGGUGGGCUGGGCCGGCACUGACGCUGAGGAGCGAAAGCGUGGGGAGCGAACAGG